rnacentral:rRNA from 1 species
UUCGGAGGAUGCGAGCGUUAUCCGGAUUUAUUGGGUUUAAAGGGUGCGUAGGCGGAUUUUUAAGUCAGCGGUAAAAUGUCCGGGCUCAACCCGGGCCGGCCGUUGAAACUGGGGAUCUUGAGUGGGCGAGAAGUAUGCGGAAUGCGUGGUGUAGCGGUGAAAUGCAUAGAUAUCACGCAGAACUCCGAUUGCGAAGGCAGCAUACCGGCGCCCGACUGACGCUGAGGCACGAAAGCGUGGGGAUCGAACAGG